CGGACAGAAGGGAGCUUGCUCCCGGAUGUUAGCGGCGGACGGGUGAGUAACACGUGGGUAACCUGUCCUGUAAGACUGGGAUAACUCCGGGAAACCGGAGCUAAUACCGGUUAGUUCCUUGAACCGCAUGGUUAAUGGGUGAAAGACGGUUUCGGCUGUCACUUACAGAUGGACCCGCGGCGCAUUAGCUAGUUGGUGGGGUAAUGGCUAAUCACGGCCACAAUACGUAACCGACCUGAGAGGGUGAUCGGCCACACUGGGAAUGACACAUGUCCCACUUUCCUACGGGGGGCAGCAGUAGGGAAUCUUCCGCAAUGGUUGAAAGUCUGACGGAGCAACGCCGCGUGAGUGAUGAAGGGUUUUCGGAUCGUAAAGCUCUGUUGUUAGGGAAGAACAAGUGCGAGAGUAACUGCUCGCACCUUGACGGUACCUAACCAGAAAGCCACGGCUCCACGAUCCACCAGCCGCGGUAAAGCGGGGGUGGCACGCGUUGUCCGGAAUUAUUGGGCGUAAAGGGCUCGCAGGCGGUUUCUUAAGUCUGAUGUGAAAGCCCCCCCCUCAACCGGGGAGGGUCAUUGGAAACUGGGAAACUUGAGUGCAGAAGAGGGGAGUGGAAUCCCACGUGUAGCGGUGAAAUGCGUAGAGAUGUGGAGGAACACCAGUGGCGAAGGCGACUCUCUGGCCUGUAACUGACGCUGAGGAGCGAAAGCGUGGGGAGCGAACAGGAUUAGAUACCCUGGUAGUCCACGCCGUAAACGAUGAGUGCUAAGUGUUAGGGGGUUUCCGCCCCUUAGUGCUGCAGCUAACGUUUUAAGCACUCCGCCUGGGGAGUACGCCCGCAAGACUGAAACUCAAAGGAAUUGAACGGGGGGCCGCACAAGCGGUGGAGCAUGUGGUUUAAUUCGAAGCAACGCGAAGAACCUUACCAGGUCUUGACAUUCUCUGACAACCCUAGAGAUAGGGCUUUCCCUUCGGGGACAGAGUGACAGGUGGUGCAUGGUUGUCGUCAGCUCGUGUCGUGAGCUGUUGGGUUAAGUCCCGCAACGAGCGCAACCCUUGAUCUUAGUUACCAGCAUUCAGUUGGGCACUCUAAGGUGACUGGGGGUGACAAACCGGAGGAAGGUGGGGAUAACGUCAAAUCAUCAUGCCCCUUAUAACCUGGGCAACACACGUGCUACAAUGGACAGA
rnacentral:rRNA from 1 species